rnacentral:rRNA from 1 species
UGGGGAAUAUUGCACAAUGGAGGGAACUCUGAUGCAGCGACGCCGCGUGAACGAAGAAGGCUUUCGAGUCGUAAAGUUCUUUUAUAUGGGAAGAUAAUGACGGUACCAUAAGAAGAAGCCCCGGCUAACUAAGUGCCAGCAGCCGCGGUAAUACGUAGGGGGCUAGCGUUGUCCGGAAUCACUGGGCGUAAAGGGUUCGCAGGCGGAAAUGCAAGUCAGGUGUAAAAGGCAGUAGCUUAACUACUGUAAGCAUUUGAAACUGCAUAUCUUGAGAAGAGUAGAGGUAAGUGGAAUUUUUAGUGUAGCGGUGAAAUGCGUAGAUAUUAAAAAGAAUACCGGUGGCGAAGGCGACUUACUGGGCUCAUUCUGACGCUGAGUAACGAAAGCGUGGGUAGCAAACAGG